UGCAGAGUGUGUGUUUGUAUGAGUGUGUGUGUGUGUGUAUAUAAUGCAGAGUGUGUGUUUGUAUGAGUGUGUGUGUAUAUAAUUAUAAAAAUCACAGAAUUUCAUAGCCCCAAGUUUUACCUUCGACUUAUCCACGAGGCAUAGCAUAUUUCACAAUUGUUGGUCACAAAACUGCACUCGACUUAUACAUGAGAUCGACUUAUACACGAG